rnacentral:rRNA from 1 species
GUGGGGAAUAUUGGGCAAUGGGCGCAAGCCUGACCCAGCAACGCCGCGUGAGGGAAGAAGGCUUUCGGGUUGUAAACCUCUGUCCUUGGUGACGAAACAAAUGACGGUAGCCAAGGAGGAAGCCCCGGCUAACUACGUGCCAGCAGCCGCGGUAAUACGUAGGGGGCGAGCGUUGUCCGGAAUUACUGGGCGUAAAGGGUGCGUAGGUGGCCUUGUAAGUUGGAUGUGAAAUACCCGGGCUUAACUUGGGGGGUGCAUCUAAUACUGGAGGGCUAGAGUGCAGGAGAGGAAAGCGGAAUUCCUAGUGUAGCGGUGAAAUGCGUAGAUAUUGGGAAGAACACCGGUGGCGAAGGCGACUUGCUGGGCAGCAACUGACGCUGAGGCGCGAAAGCCAGGGGAGCAAACGGGAUUAGAUACCCCUGUAGUCC